rnacentral:lncRNA from 1 species
GGUUCUGGAGCACACCCCCAGGCCCUGCUCACCAAUUCUAGUCAUGAUGCUUUCUUCUGGAAGUUUCUGUGGGUUAUUACCUACAGUCAUUUUACUUCUGAGAACUGCCAUGACGAAUGGUUGGGACUCCUCGGAGGAGGCCAGAUCUGGAACCAACACCACCAGUGCUGUGCUGAGGAAUGAAGAGUGAAAAGUGGCUCAUUGUUUGAGCCCUGACCCAAGCUGUGUGAGCUCCCCCCUUUUUUAUUACAACAGUCAAUAAAUUACUUUUUCCUGCU